rnacentral:rRNA from 1 species
UACGGAGGGAGCUAGCGUUGUUCGGAAUUACUGGGCGUAAAGCGCACGUAGGCGGCUAUUCAAGUCGGGGGUGAAAGCCCGGGGCUCAACCCCGGAACUGCCCUCGAAACUAGAUAGCUAGAAUCUUGGAGAGGCGAGUGGAAUUCCGAGUGUAGAGGUGAAAUUCGUAGAUAUCAGGAAGAACACCAAUGGCGAAAGCAGCUCUCUGGGACGGUACUGACGCUGAGACGCGAAAGCGUGGGGAGCGAACAGG